AUUGAACGCUGGCGGCGGGCCUAACACAUGCAAGUCGAGCGAGAGGCGGACGGGCGGGUGAGGGCUGGGAAACUGGCUGACGUAGGGGUCUAACUACUGGAAACGGUAGCUACUACUGCAUACCGCCCGUUGUGGCCAGAUGGGAUUAGCUAGUUGGUGGGGUAAUGGCUCACCUAGGGGACGAUCCCUAGCUGGUCUGAGAGGCUGACCAGCCACACUGGAACUGAGACACGGUCCAGACUCCUACGGGAGGCAGCAGUGGGGAAUAUUGCACAAUGGGCGCAAGCCUGAUGCAGCAACGCCGCGUGUGUGAAGAAGGCCUUCGGGUUGUAAAGCACUUUCAUCGGGGAGGCGUUACUCGCAGAAGAAGCACCGGCUAACUCCGUGCCAGCAGCCGCGGUAAUAC
rnacentral:rRNA from 1 species